GGGGAAGUAAAAAUCGUAACAAGGUUUCCGUAGGUGAACCUGCGGAAGGAUCAUUGUCGAUGCCUUACAUGCAGACCAACACGUGAAUCAGUUUGAACACAUAGGGUUGGUUUGAGGUGUUCAACACCUCGGCUUGCCUCUGGUUCGGAGGAGGACGAUGUUGUGCGUUCUCCUUUGUGCCAAAACACAAACCCCGGCGCUGAAUGCGUCAAGGAAUUUAAAAUUUGCUCUGAGCGCACCUGCAUGGCACCGGAGACGGUUUUCGUGCGGGUUGUGUUCUGACACAUAAUAUAGAAUGACUCUCGGCAACGGAUAUCUAGGCUCUUGCAUCGAUGAAGAACGUAGCGAAAUGCGAUACUUGGUGUGAAUUGCAGAAUCCCGUGAACCAUCGAGUCUUUGAACGCAAGUUGCGCCCGAUGCCAUUAGGUUGAGGGCACGUCUGCCUGGGCGUCACAUAUCGAAGCCUCUCGCCAAUUUCCUAUAUUGAUAGGGGUAUUGUGCAGGGCGAAUGUUGGCCUCCCGUGAGCUUUAUUGCCUCAUGGUUGGUUGAAAAUCGAGACCUUGGUAGGGUGUGCCAUGAUAGGUGGUGGMUGUGUUACGCACGAGACCAAGUAAGUCAUGUGCUGCUCUAUUGAAUUUAGGCCUCUUUUACCCACAUGCGUUUCGAAACGCUCGUGAUGAGACCUCAGGUCAGGCGGGGCUACCCGCUGAAUUUAAGCAUAUCAAUACGCGCGAGGAAAAAA
rnacentral:rRNA from 1 species